CUUCCUCUCGAUCUCAUCUGGACAUCCAGCCCCGCCCCGCCCCUCACAGCCGUCCGCCGCCGCCUCCUACCCCGCCACCGCGCCUACCCCUACACCAAGUGCCAACACACUCGCACCCAUCCACUACCGGGGACCCGCGGCCUUCUACCGCCGGUGGCACUCGACGUCGCGGCCAUUGGCGGCUCCCCGACCUUGCUACCAUGGCGCCUCCGGGACUCCUCCCCGCUGCUUCCACCUUGACAUUGGUUUCCCCAACACCGCUGGCUUCGCCACUAGCCACUCCUAGGCACACUCUAUCUGCCGUCGGACCCAUCCGCCUGGUUCCAAUGGUGAACAUCGCCACCACCCUAUUGUGAGGCGAGGUGAUGUUCUUCGAACUGCCGGCUUGAUUCUGCCUAGCUGAAUAAUAAUGGAAGAAAAAGGAGUAGAGGCUUUACCUAAUGUACCUACAGCAACAAUGGGUUGCCCCACCAAACAUCACUAGAGGACUAGGAAGGGAAACGGUGAUUUCUCAAUCAGGUUCUAUUGGCCGUUCUAGCAUUAGCAUCAUGAAGAUUCUGGAACAGUGCACGACGCCCAAUCCCAAGGUCUUCCCUUAGCUGGUGAAGCACAUGAGCCGGUGUCAAGCAAUAUCCCCCGUAUACUUUGUCCUUGUGUUCUUUCCAGGUAUGCAUCCAUAUCAGCUGCAUCAGGGAGCUCCAUUCACAGUGGUACUACUUCCGAACGUGUAGAACAUGCAAUUGUAUGUAAAUCGCCUUGAAAUGAUGGUUGCUGAAUACUGCAUUAUGCUUGAUAGUCGUCUACCUGGACGACUUCAAGCGCUAAUAGGUAAAUCCUUUUAGAUUUUGUAGUUCUUUUCAGUACAGAGAUAAUUCUGUUUCUUGCUUCCCAAUUUUUGGACGACAAAACAGAGAGGCUUUACAUUAUAAAAGUUACAGUAAUAGAUUAUAAAUAAGAAAAUAAGGUCCAAGCCAGACUCCAACUUAUAAAGGUUUUGUCUUUCACGUAAGGGGAUAUCAUACUUCAUCUAAUCAUGGUUGUCGUGUAACCUAAUGAUGGUUAGUUACUACUCCCUCCGUUCCUAAAUACUUGUCUUUCUAGCCAUUUCAACAAGUGACUACAUACGGAGCAAAAUGAGUGAAUCUACACUCUAAAAUAUGUCUACAUACAUCCGUAUGUAGUAGUCAUUUGAAAUGUCUAGAAAGACAAAUAUUUAGGAACGGAGGGAGUACAUCCAUAGAGAAAAUGAACAUGGAGAUAUUCUCAUGUCCAUAGUUUCCAGCGAUGAGAAUGGGCUACCCGGCAUUGCUCGGCUGCUGAAACUGAGCAAACUUUGUGUAGUUAUUCAUGGUAGAAAUUCCUACUUAAAUUAUCUAUUUCGCCAGAUUGAGAAACUGCAUACAUGCCUUCGUCAAUGCGCAAUCGAACAGCCGUCAGGUGGUGAUGAGAGGACUACUAAAAGCAAGGGAAACACACUUAAGUUUGCUAUCCACAGUUUCUUCAGAAUCUAAAUACCAGUGGCAUCACAAGUGGGCUUCUCAAUUAAUCCAAAAGAUCCAUCAGGUUGCAAAGAUAAAAACAAUGAACAGAACAUAUCUGAAAGCGGCCCAAGCAUCCUCUACUACUUUCGUUUAGAUGUUAUUUAUCUUGCUCUGUGUUGACAUAUUUUCUUCUUCCGUAGAUGCAAAGCAUCCAGGAUGUGAUCAAUCAUAUGCUGGAGAAUGGCAUUGAGACCUUAGUUCACUGGAUAAUGGCAUUUAUAUGCGAUUCCAGUCCUUUCACAGUGCAGGUGAACUGGAAAUUCUAUCAAAGACAACUGUCCUUUCUUUAGUGUACAUGCAUGAUAUUACAUGAUUAAACAUACCAUUUUUAACUUCAUUUAGUUGUCUAUAUUAUUCUCUAUGUGCUAUUACCAACAAAAAUAGUGUUACCUCCGUACCAGGCCUUCCAAAUAUCUUAUAUUUUGGUACGGAGGUAGUACUUUUAGCCUGCAAAGCGACUUCUAUGCCCAUUGUGGCAAUAAUGUGUUUGCACCACUGAAGAGAUAACUUAUUUUUUUUCAUUGUAAGAAACACAUCAUGUUUCUUCCCCAUCAUUUAAGUGUGUGCCAUGUUAUCUUUGUUCAUGUUGCUGGCUGUACAUUUUCAGUAUUCUCAGGAUAUAUCUGAUUAUGAUGAUGUUCCGUACUGCUCUAGAGCCGACAACUUUUUGGACUGCUCGAUGUUUAUAACCAAUGAGACUACUUUUUUGGUUGUUGGCUGGAGCUAUCACUAUGACUGAAAUUUUCUUUCCACCCAAGUAAAUUUAUAUGGUCAUCAAAAACCAACGACAGGUCAACACUUGUCAGCAGUUUGCAAUUUGUAUUACAGUAUGCCUAAGCCAAUGUUCAGACAAUGUUGUUUUAGUUAGGAAAUGUAGAAAACAUGGUCAUGAUUUAUGUAGAUUGGACAGUCCCUUCAAACUGCAGUCUUUGAUCUAGAGUGGACAAUCUAACUAUAUGUUUCCUUUUAGAAAAUGACUAUAUGUUCCAUGAAUUCACUGCUUAUUUUGGCCAGAUCAGAUUAAACUAGGUCUUGAUUUCAAGGUUCAGUUAAGGCAGUUGGUGCAGGUUUGUUUGCUGUAAUACUAACUGUGCUAUUUAGACAGAGACAUUUGCUCUUUCUCAUUCCUCGACAUUUUCCUUUGCUACCAAGAUUUUUCAUUCUAGGUUGUGGAAAACGCAUGUCGCGUUCCUUCUACAAGUCGUCAUGAGCUGGGACAUAGAAGAAGAGAGCCGACGAGAAGUCGCAAAGCGGUUCGCUCCGGUGUCGCUGCCAAUGGCGCUGCACAAAGUGCAGAUUGCAGGCUAGAUGCGUACAAGUCCGUCCCUACUUCCACGACGUGGAAGCAAAGGAAAUUUAGUCAAUUAGAUAGUAUUUUUGGUUAUGAAAGUUAUCUUUUGUGUAUGCAGUUUUGCCAUCAUUUUGUAAAAGCUUUGAGUUUUUUAUAAUGUAAUUGUCUUACUAAUCACACUUUUAAUUGAUUUGUGCCAAGGCUAAUAGCCAAGUUAUGCACAAACUGUUCAUGUUU